rnacentral:rRNA from 1 species
GACGAACGCUGGCGGCGUGCUUAACACAUGCAAGUCGAGCGAGAAAGGCUCUUCGGAGCUGAGUACAGCGGCGAACGGGUGAGUAACACGUGGGCAACCUGCCCCAAGGAGCGGGACAACCCGGGGAAACUCGGGCUAAUACCGCAUGAAUCGCCGGCCCUCAAGGGUCUGCGGGAAAAGGUAGCUUCGGCCUCCGCCUUGGGAUGGGCCCGCGGCGCAUUAGCUUGUUGGUGAGGUCACGGCUCACCAAGGCGACGAUGCGUAGCUGGUCUGAGAG